rnacentral:tRNA from 1 species
GCCCAGCUAGCUCAGUUGGUAGAGCACUUCCAUGGUAAGGAAGGGGUCAUCGGUUCGAGUCCGAUGCUGGGCU